rnacentral:rRNA from 1 species
GUCGGGAUAAUUAUUGGGCUUAAAGUGUCCGUAGCCGGUUUAGUAAGUUCCUGGUAAAAUCGGGUAGCUUAACUAUCUGCAUGCUAGGAAUACUGCUAUACUAGAGGGCGGGAGAGGUCUGAGGUACUACAGGGGUAGGGGUGAAAUCUUAUAAUCCUUGUAGGACCACCAGUGGCGAAGGCGUCAGACUGGAACGCGCCUGACGGUGAGGGACGAAAGCCAGGGGAGCGAACCGGAUUAGAUACCCGGGUAGUCCUGGCCGUAAACGAUGCAUACUAGGUGAUGGUACGGCCAUGAGCCGUAUCAGUGCCGUAGGGAAACCGUUAAGUGUGCCGCCUGGGAAGUACGGUCGCAAGGCUAAAACUUAAAGGAAUUGGCGGGGGAGCACCACAAGGGGUGAAGCCUGCGGUUCAAUUGGACUCAACGCCGGGAAACUUACCAGGGGAGACAGCAGUAUGACGGUCAGGUUGACGACCUUACCCGACGAGCUGAGAGGAGGUGCAUGGCCGUCGCCAGUUCGUGCCGUGAGGUAUCCUGUUAAGUCAGGCAACGAACGAGAUCCGCACCUUUAUUUGCCAACAAGAAGUCACGACUUCGUUGGGAACACUAAAGGGACCGCCGUCGAUAAGACGGAGGAAGGAGCGGGCAAAGGCAGGUCAGUAUGCCCCGAAACCCCUGGGCUACACGCGGGCUGCAAUGGUAUGAACAAUGGGCUGUGACUCCGAAAGGAGAAACCAAUCCCGAAAUCAUAUCUCAGUUGGAAUUGUCGGCUGUAACCCGCCGACAUGAACGUGGAAUCCCUAGUA